rnacentral:lncRNA from 1 species
UAAGUGUGGCGGCUUGCUAAUGUAGAGUAGAUAAUAGGAGUAAUGGUUUGUUAGGUUUGUGAAUAUUGCAAAUGAAGUUUCUAUUCUCUGUUUGUGAUGUUGUGUAGUGUAGAUAGGAUCUAGAUCUCUACUUGGGCUGCAUAAGUUUCGACAUUAACCGUUUUGUACCUGUGCAAAUUAACGUGGUGUUCGUGUUAAUAUUCCGCUUCUCUUUUUCAACAUGCUUUCGAAGGCAAAGCAACCCAAGUCAAUUAAAUCCCCUGUAGCUAAAAGGGCUAAGAAAGUUGCAGCUUAAGUAUGGCGGCUCGCUAAUAUAGAGUAGAUAAUAGGAGUAAUAAGCCUUUUGUUUGUUAGGUUUGUGAAUAUUGCAAAUGAAGUUUCUACUUUCUGUCUGUUAUGUUGUGUAGUCUAGAUAGGAUCUAGAUCUCUACUUGGGCUGCAUAAGUUUCGACAUUAACCGUUUUGUACCUGUGCGAAUUAACGUGGUGUUCGUGUUAAUAUUUAGUUUCUCUUUUUCAACAUGCUUUCUUCC